GCUGUGGGAGUUGCGCCUGGAGAAGUCUGCAAGUAGACCUCAUUGCAGUCUUCCAGUAUUUAAAAGGGAGCUAUAAAAAAGAGGGGAAUCAACUUUUUACUUGGUGUAUCAGGAAAAGAAAUCCCAUUGCCAUCUGUUUUCAAGAAAAGGAUGACCUGGGAAACUACCGAC